UACGUAGGGUGCGAGCGUUAAUCGGAAUUACUGGGCGUAAAGCGUGCGUAGGCGGUUUUGUAAGCCAGAUGUGAAAUCCCCGGGCUUAACCUGGGAAUGGCAUUUGGGACUGCAAGGCUGGAGUUUGGCAGAGGAGACUGGAAUUCCUGGUGUAGCAGUGAAAUGCGUAGAUAUCAGGAGGAAUACCGAUGGCGAAGGCAGGUCUCUGGGCUAUAACUGACGCUCAUGCACGAAAGCGUGGGGAGCAAACAGG
rnacentral:rRNA from 1 species